CCGCCGCGGUAGUUCAAAUAUUAAUAUAAUAAUAUAUGUAAAUCCACACACAAGCGUGCCCGCGUGCGCGCAAACGCACAUCACAGCAGCAGCGAACGAUUUAACGAUUUAUAAUCACAAUCGCAAUGAACGUUUAUGAUAUAAUACCUCCGUCACUGCUGCAUUGUCAUUGUCGUCAUCGUCGUCAGUGGCAAUUAAAAUUGUUUCCCUCGACCUGCUCUGAUACGAUCGAAUUUUUUCGAGAAAUCGUUCGAGAUGUACAUCAAUAGAACUCGUCGUCAAACCGAUGUGCAAUAACAGCGAUGUAUAUUAUGUAAUAUAGACUUCCAAAAAAUGUCACACAGCUCAGUGUGACGAUUAUAAUUAAUAUCACCACAACAAUGAACGGAAAUUGAAGUCGAAGAAAGACACACGGGUCAAUUUAUACUGAAGGAGUUGUCGAUCAUAUUAUUGUUAUGCAACAAUAAUCAUUAUUAUCUUAGCUCCUGCUCCUGCAGCACAUCAACAGAAGUCGUGUUUACAUUAUACUGGCUGUAAAUGUAUACGCAAUAAUACGAGACUCGGCCCCACAGCUUCCGACCUUAAACCUCAAACUGCAGUUGUAGGCAUAUUAUACGUACAAAUCGACAGCCUUGUUAAGAAUACCUACGUCUUUUAAAAUGUAUUCAGAAUACGUUCUUCAAUAUACUCGGUGUCAUUUGUACAUUUGAAGUAGGUAUUCCUGUACUGUCUUUCUCAAAAGUAUUUCAAUACAAAUAAAAAUACAUUUUAUUAAAAGUA